rnacentral:sRNA from 1 species
CCCUAGCCCUGAUGGAAGCGGCAUCCUUUUUCCCGAUUCUUUAAGGGAAAAAGAUACAGCGGACAGCAGGAAAUAGC